UCCAAGACCUACCCAGUAGGAAAGACUG
rnacentral:piRNA from 1 species